UUUCCUAUAGCUCAGUUGGUAGAGCGUGCGGCUGUUAACCUCAAGGUCGCUGGUUCAAAUUCAGCUGGGAGAG
rnacentral:tRNA from 1 species